UUAAGUAGUGGUGCCGCUCUUAUUAGAUGAGAUAGUAAUAAGAGUUGCUCACUACUUAUCA
rfam:Caenorhabditis brenneri strain PB2801 C_brenneri-6.0.1_Cont9.7, whole genome shotgun sequence.